GUCUUCGUAGAGUAGUGUGAGUCACUCCCACCUGCUGGGUGGAUCAUACUGGGUCGGUGGUUCGAAUCCAUCCGAAGACA